rnacentral:rRNA from 1 species
UACAGAGGUCUCAAGCGUUGUUCGGAUUCAUUGGGCGUAAAGGGUGUGUAGGUGGCGCCGUAAGUCGGGUGUGAAAUUUCGGAGCUUAACUCCGAAACUGCAUUCGAUACUGCGGUGCUUGAGGACUGGAGAGGAGACUGGAAUUCAUGGUGUAGCAGUGAAAUGCGUAGAUAUCGUGAGGAAGACCAGUUGCGAAGGCGGGUCUCUGGACAGUUCCUGACGCUGAGGCACGAAGGCCAGGGGAGCAAACGGG